AUUGAACGCUGGCGGCAUGCCUUACACAUGCAAGUCGAACGGCAGCACGGAGCUUGCUCUGGUGGCGAGUGGCGAACGGGUGAGUAAUAUAUCGGAACGUACCCUGGAGUGGGGGAUAACGUAGCGAAAGUUACGCUAAUACCGCAUACGAUCUAUGGAUGAAAGCAGGGGACCGCAAGGCCUUGUGCUCCUGGAGCGGCCUAUAUCUGAUUAGCUAGUUGGUGGGGUAAAGGCCUACCAAGGCAUCGAUCAGUAGCUGGUCUGAGAGGACGACCAGCCACACUGGAACUGAGACACGGUCCAGACUCCUACGGGAGGCAGCAGUGGGGAAUUUUGGACAAUGGGCGCAAGCCUGAUCCAGCAAUGCCGCGUGAGUGAAGAAGGCCUUCGGGUUGUAAAGCUCUUUUGUCAGGGAAGAAACGGUGGGGGCUAAUAUCCUUCACUAAUGACGGUACCUGAAGAAUAAGCACCGGCUAACUACGUGCCAGCCGCCGCCGUAACAC
rnacentral:rRNA from 1 species